GAUCUCGCCGCGGAUCACCCACGUCAGUCCUCCUCAGUCGCCGGGGAUUCACAAGCCUUCACCCCUUCGGGCCGCAUCCUCGGGAGUGUUGAGACCCCAACACGCCACAUCCUCCCCUGCUUAGAUCACAACGUUUCCAAGCGCCUGGUUGAGAUCUCCCACUCCCACACGCCCCCUCAGCCCCACCCCAGGACGCUCUUCACGUCCACCUUCAGAGCCACCUCCUCCAGGAAGUCUCCCUGCCAGCCUCCGCAUUUCCCAUUUCUGCGCGUCGGAGGACAGGUGCGGGCGGGCCGGACUCUGAGACAGGACAGGCCACUUCUUAUCCCCCAGGCUGCGGGCUGCGGCCUGCGGGCUGCGGCCUGCGUAGGGCCCUAGGUCGUAAGCGACCCGGAGGUGGGGCGCGUGGUUUGAUUCAUUUUCAAUCGCCCCAACUCAUCCCUCGCCGGGACAGGCAGAGCGAGGGGAAACAGGAGCGCGAGUGAGGCCCGACGCUGGGAUCCUCGGUGCCACCUCUGAGCCCAGGCGACCUGGCAGGACGCGCUUAGCACCGGCUGGGCUUCCGGGCCCUUCACGACCAGGGAGUGAGGGGGCUGUGCUUUAGGGAGGAUGGCACGUCCGCGCCCUCACGCGCCCCUGCCCGGGCACCUCCCGAGGGAGGCUGGGCCGAAGUUCCAGCGCCCCCAUGCGGGGAGGGAAGAUCUGUCCCCGGUGCUCGCGACCAGGCUGCGCAGCCUACCUAAAACGGAGCUGAAGACCUCCUCCCCCUCCUCCCCCCGCCCCACCUUCCUUGUUUCACAGCCCGGGAAACUGAAGUGCAGAGAAAGGCCUGGAUUCGGGCCGCCUGUUUCUGGUGCCUCGCUUCCAAGACCGGGCGAGUCGGCCUCUGGGUGACAACGAAUCAGCCUGCGUCCACUGCGCGUCCUCAGGCUCAAUUUUACUCGUCCCUAGAAUGAGGCUCAGAUGAGCCUGGACAGCAGCCCUUCCCCAGAUACCAGCACUGUGGAGAUGCCUCUGACCUGGCUAUUCUGGGGUUUGGACCCAGCCUUUCAAUGGAUGAUGUGUUUGAAGAAUCUCCAGGCUUCUCCUCUGCCAUCUCCCAUUUCUGGGGGCCAGGUUUGGCUCAGGAGCCAGGAGUCCUUGACUCCCCUUGUGACCCUGACAGCACCCUUUCUCAAGUCUCAGUUCUCCAGCAGGAUAGUGGAAUUGGGUCCCAGUUCUGGGGAGUCACCUCUGCUGGCACAGUGUCCUAGGAGUGCCUAGUGUGAAUGACAAAUCCAUGGGCUUCAGCUCUCAUAAACCUUUGCCCAUUCAACACACACACACACACACACACACACACACACACACACACACACACACACACAAAUACGCACCACCUAGCAAACUGCAGGAUACGGAAGUCCCACCAUUAAAGCUUGUUUCUUGGUCUUUUCAAGUUCUGCUCUCUCUGAGGACAGGAAUCUUGGCUACUUGAGAAUGCACUGAGAGGAAGGUGGUGAGGACUGGGGAAUAGGAGGGAGCCAGACCCCACUUCGCCACCUGACACUCAGGCCCAUCAGGUGGCUGGUGGGAGGAGAGGAGACAGGGAAUCAAGGCUCCCAGCUGGGAAUGGGCUUCCUCCCCCGCCCCCCCCCCCCCAGGCUCUGGAGGGUGGUCCACAAGAACCCUCCUCUUUAGCGGCCUGGGCAGGCUUGAGGCAUUAAGGGUAAUUGGCAGGGCCUCCUCCCCGCUCCUCAGGCUCCCAGGAAGGAAGCAGGUGACUAAGGGAGAAUCGUUUCCCUGCAGAUUCUUUGCAAUGAAAAUUACUCCUUUGUUCUUUCAAAAUUGUUCCCCCGGGGGACCCACCCUUCCUUACUUGUCAGGAGGCACAAAACAAAUUGAGAAGUGGAAGAAGGAGCAGAAAACAGAAAAAAGCAAAGACAAACAAAAACUUUAAAAAUUCAGCCAAGGUUAGGUGUGACCGUGUUUUUACUAACUGUUCCUGCUUGUUCAGUUCUGUGUUCUGAGGCACAGGGGGCAUCACCUGAGAGUCCUAAAGGAUCUUAUGGGGAAGCCAGCCUUUCACCUGUCCCCUUAUCUGAGAAGGCUGGGAGGGGCGUGGGGGCGGAUAUCAGAAGUUGAGGGGCAGGAGCAGGCUACCUGAGGGCUUGGGAAGCAGUAACUGGGGUCUCUCUUCCCCAUCUGGAGGUGGCCUUUGCCUCACCAGUCCAGGCUUGGGGAGUGGGCCACAGCCACCCUCUGCUCCCUGUUCCCCCAUGUCCUUUUGGGGGGAACAAUUCCUCCCUGGUGUAUUCUGUUCUGAGGUGUCCCCUCCUGGAUUCCUGGAAUCUGUCCCCAGUCUGUAGCCCAAUCCUUCCCGCCCCCCCCCCUCAGCACCCAUCCGGCUGCCGCUGCCGGAAAUCACAGGGGUGCAGAAGAUGGGGGGAAAGAGAAAGAGGCAGUCACUUGCCUUUCCCCGUGAUGACAGGCACGGCAGGAAAGAGUCUGCAGUUACUCAUUUGGAGCCUGCCUGGCUUCCUGGCUGCCUGCCUCGUUCCUGCAGUGGGUGCCACCCUGGCCUCCCCCAGUCCUUCUCCAUGUCCCUUAGUCGUGCACUCACUGCUUCAAGGCUCCCAGCUCAGGAACCCACUGGUCGUGCGAUUCUGCAGCAGAGUGGGAACGGUGCCUGGGGACCAGUUUUGGCCUGCACGGUGGGGGCCAGGCAGGGAUCUGGCCUGGGGAGUCACGGCUCCAGGAUUGCCCUUCCAGAGCCAUCCACAUUGCUGUGUGGAUGCAAUCUCUCUAGGAUUCUUUGGGGCCAGUUCUUCCUGUGAGAGACACAUUUUAACUCCAGACUGUGAUUUGGAGGGCGAGAGGGGUCCAGACAGGUAUUUAAAGAAACAAUGUGCCCUCCAUCCCUUCUCUAACAGCAGGUAGCAAAUAGCAUUCCUUCAUCCCGCAUGUAUCACCUACCUACACUGGUGCUGGCCAGCGAUGGGCCCUGUGGAUGUCACAGUGGCUCAGACACAGGCUGCGCCUCCAGGGGAGCCUAGCACUGCUUGAGCCGGGUGCUGGGGAAAUUUCUGGUGGUGCUAUAGCUGCACUUAGG